rnacentral:rRNA from 1 species
GACGAACGCUGGCGGCGUGCUUAACACAUGCAAGUCGAACGAAGAGCGACGGAAGCUUGCUUCUAUCACUCUUAGUGGCGAACGGGUGAGUAACGCGUAAUCAACCUGCCCUUCAGAGGGGGACAACAGUUGGAAACGACUGCUAAUACCGCAUACGAUCUAACCUCGGCAUCGAGGAUAGAUGAAAGGUGGCCUCUACAUGUAAGCUAUCACUGAAGGAGGGGAUUGCGUCUGAUUAGCUAGUUGGAGGGGUAACGGCCCACCAAGGCGAUGAUCAGUAGCCGGUCUGAGAGGAUGAACGGCCACAUUGGGACUGAGACAGGGCCCAGACUCCUACGGGAGGCAGCAGUGGGGAAUCUUCCGCAAUGGACGAAAGUCUGACGGAGCAACGCCGCGUGAGUGAGGACGGCCUUCGGGUUGUAAAGCUCUGUUAAUCGGGACGAAAGGCCUUCUUGCGAAUAGUGAGAAGGAUUGACGGUACCGGAAUAGAAAGCCACGGCUAACUACGUG